rnacentral:rRNA from 1 species
GCUUGUCUCAAAGAUUAAGCCAUGCAUGUCUAAGUAUAAGCGACUAUACUGUGAAACUGCGAAUGGCUCAUUAAAUCAGUUAUGGUUUAUUUGAUGGUACCUACUACUUGGAUAACCGUAGUAAUUCUAGAGCUAAUACAUGCAGGAAGACCCGACUCACGAAGGGUUGUAUUUAUUAGAUAAGAAACCUUCCCCUUUGGGUUGCGUGCCGAGUCACAAUAACUGCUCGAAUCGCAUGGCUUCACGCCGGCGAUGGUUCAUUCAAAUUUCUGCCCUAUCAGCUUUCGAUGGUUGUGUAUUGGACAACCACUGGCAAUAACGGGUAACGGAGAAUUAGGGUUCGGUUCCGGAGAGUUGGCCUUAAAAAUAGCCAACACAUCUAAGGAAGGCAGCAGG